CACUUCUAAGGAAGGCAGCAGGCGCGCAAAUUACCCAAUCCUGACUCAGGGAGGUAGUGACAAGAAAUAACAAUAAACCGGCUUAUGCCGGUUUAAUUGGAAUGAGUACAAUUUAAACAUCUUAACGAGGAACAAUUGGAGGGCAAGUCUGGUGCCAGCAGCCGCGGUAAUUCCAGCUCCAAUAGCGUAUACUAAAGUUGUUGCAGUUAAAAAGCUCGUAGUUGGAUUUCUGUGGGGACGGAGCGGCCGGCCGCACAUCGCGGUUCGAGCUAGCGCUUUCCCUACAUCCUGCCGCGAACCGUGCUACCAUUAGUUUGGUGGCGCUGGGGAUCGGCUCGAUUACUUUGAGAAAAAUAGAGUGUUCAAAGCAGGCCACACGCCUUGAAUAAGUUAGCAUGGAAUAAUAACUAAGGACUUCGGUUCUAUUUUGUUGGUGUUCGGGACUGAAGUAAUGAUUGAUAGGGACAGUUGGGGCGGUCUGUAUUCCAAAGCGAGAGGUGAAAUUCUUAGACCUUCGGAAGACAAACAGCUGCGAAAGCGUUCCGCAAGGAUGUUCCCUUUGAUCAAGAACGAAAGUUGGGGGAUCGAAGACGAUCAGAUACCGUCGUAGUCUCAACUAUAAACUAUACCAGCUAGGGAUCGGCCAACGUUAUUCUAUACCGACUUGGUCGGCACCUUAUGAGAAAUCAAAGCAUCUGGGUUCCGGGGGGAGUAUGGUCGCAAGGCUGAAACUUAAAGGAAUUGACGGAAGGGCACCACCAGCCGUGGAGCCUGUGGCUUAAUUUGACUCAACACGGGAAAACUUACCAGGUCCAGACAUAGUAAGGAUUGACAGAUUGAUAGCCCUUUCUUGAUUCUGUGGGUGGUGGUGCAUGGCCGUUCUUAGUUGGUGGAGUGAUUUGUCUGGUUAAUUCCGUUAACGAACGAGACCCCAGCCUGCUAAAUAGCGCGCGUGAGCUUUGCUCGCGGCGAGCUUCUUAGAGGGACUAUGAUGCGCGAUAGCACAUGGAAGUUUGGGGCAAUAACAGGUCUGUGAUGCCCUUAGAUGUUCUGGGCCGCACACGGGCUACACUGGCGCCUGCAACGAGCAUAUCAGCUGGCCCGAGAGGGUCUUGGCUAAUCUUUUGAACCGGCGCCGUGCUUGGGAUUGACCUUUGCAAUUGUUGGUCAUGCAACGAGGAAUGCCUUGUAAACGCGAGUCAUCAGCUCGCAUUGAAUACGUCCCUGCCCUUUGUACACACCGCCCGUCGCUCCUACCGAUGAAUGUUCCGAUGAAAUUUUCGGAGAGUGCCUGUGAACUUGGCUCUGCCUUGCGAACGGGAAGCUCAAAGUCACUUAAAUCUGAACAUUUCGAGG
rnacentral:rRNA from 1 species